CCAAGAUUAGACAAACAGUAGCUGAUGGAGGAAUCAUAGUUGAUACAAAAAAGAUUAUGAUGGAGAUGAAAGCCAAAUUAAAGAUGCUCAGGUUCUCAUAGGAGUAUAUUCACAGCAUCAACUAAUUUUUCAUAAUAUUUAGCAUAAGAUUGGGAAACAGAUAACAUUUCUGACAGGGAGAAACUCAACAGAGGCUUGCAUUUCCUUUGAAAUGGAAAGUAUCCACCAUUUAGGAACCAAUUGGAUCUGGCAUGGGAUGAUGUAUCAAAAAGUACAAUUGCUUUUUCUACAAAAUUAUCAUCACAAAUUAUUGAUUUGAUUUUGAAUUAUAUUGUACCUGCACAAUACAAGUCGAUAAAGUGUUCUGAUCUGUAGUAGGAAAGAGGAAAACAGACGAAACACAGUCAAUAUUUCAACAGGAUGUUUUGAUUGAAGCUCUUAUUGAUGCAUACUUACUAACUUAGACAUGAAUAGUCAUCCGACCUGGCUUCAGAUCUUAUCACUGUUUGCAUGUAUUCAGACCGUUUUCCAUGUUUCUGUUUAUGGCAGACUUCGCUAAUAUUAUAUGACAGUAAAAUUAUAAGCAAACAGCCUGAAUAAUUAUAUAACCAUUUAAAUGAAAAUGUCUGCACCACAGUUGAACCAUUCAUCUGUAUAUUUGUUUUUAUUCAUGUAGGUAUAAAAUAAAUUUUAUUUCCAUUUGAAAUA